CCUACGGGAGGCAGCAGUAAGGAAUAUUGGACAAUGCUCGCAAGAGUGAUCCAGCCAUGCCGCGUGCAGGAAGAAUGCCCUAUGGGUAGUAAACUGCUUUUGAACUAGAGAAAACCCCAGUACGUGUACUGGGCUGAUAGUAUAGUUAGAAUAAGCAUCGGCUAACUUCGUGCCAGCAGCCGCGGUAAGACGAAGGAUGCAAGCGUUAUCCGGAUUCAUUGGGUUUAAAGGGAGCGUAGGUGGACUGAUAAGUCAGUGGUGAAAUCUCCGAGCUUAACUCGGAAAUUGCCAUUGAUACUGUUGGUCUUGAGUACAGUUGCUGUGGGCGGAAUAUGACAUGUAGUGGUGAAAUACAUAGAGAUGUCAUAGAACACCGAUUGCGAAGGCAGCUCACAAAGCUGUAACUGACACUGAGGCUCGAAAGUGGNGGAGUACAACAGAUAGUAUACCUACGUAGUCGCACCGUAACGAUNAUACUCG
rnacentral:rRNA from 1 species